GAUGAACGCUGGCGGCGUGCCUAAUACAUGCAAGUCGAGCGAACAGAUGAGGAGCUUGCUCCUCUGACGUUAGCGGCGGACGGGUGAGUAACACGUGGAUAACCUACCUAUAAGACUGGGAUAACUUCGGGAAACCGGAGCUAAUACCGGAUAAUAUAUUGAACCGCAUGGUUCAAUAGUGAAAGACGGUUUUGCUGUCACUUAUAGAUGGAUACGCGCCGGAUUAGCUAGUUGGUAAGGUAACGGCUUACCAAGGCGACGAUGCGUAGCCGACCUGAGAGGGUGAUAGGCCACACUGGAACUUAGACACGGUCCAGACUCCUACGGGAGGCAGCAGUAGGCAAUCUUCCGCAAUGGGCGAAAGCCUGACGGAACAACGCCGCGUGAGUGAUGAAGGUCUUCGGAUCGUAAAACUCUGUUAUUAGUUAAGAACAAAUUUGUAAGUAACUAUGCACGUCUUGACGGUACCUAAUCAGAAAGCCACGGCUAACUACGUG
rnacentral:rRNA from 1 species